GUCUCCGUUGGUGAACCAGCGGAGGGACCAUGACCGAGCUUACAACUCCCAAACCCAAUGUGAACCAUACCAAACUGUUGCCUCGGCGGGGUCACGCCCCGGGUGCGUCGCAGCCCCGGAACCAGGCACCCGCCGGAGGGACCAACCAAACUCUUUCUAUAGUCCCCUCGCGGACGUUAUUUUUACGGCUCUGAGCAAGAAUUCAAAAUGAAUCAAAACUUUCAACAACGGAUCUCUUGGUUCUG
rnacentral:misc_RNA from 1 species